UCCCUACGGGGUGCAGCAGUCGCGAAAACUUCACAAUGGAGGCAACUCCGAUGAGGGAAUUCCUAGUGCCAAUGCAUUUUGUGUUGGCUUUUCUUCAGCGUAGAUAACUGUUGGAAUAAGGGCUGGGUAAGACGGGUGCCAGCCGCCGCGGUAAUACCCGCAGCCCAAGUGGUGGUCGAUAUUAUUGAGUCUAAAACGUUCGUAGCCGGUUCAAUAAAUCUCUGGGUAAAUCGGAGGGCUUAACCUUCCGAAUUCCGGAGAGACUGUUGAGCUUGGGACCGGGAGAGGCAAGAGGUACUUCUGGGGUAGGGGUAAAAUCCUGUAAUCCUAGAAGGACCACCGGUGGCGAAGGCGUCUUGCUAGAACGGAUCCGACGGUGAGGGACGAAGCCCUGGGUCGCAAACGGGAUUAGAUACCCCGGUAGUCCAGGGUGUAAACGCUGCAGACUUGGUGUUGGGAACCCUUCGGGGGUGCUCAGUGCCGGAGAGAAGUUGUUAAGUCUGCUACUUGGGGAGUACGUCCGCAAGGAUGAAACUUAAAGGAAUUGGCGGGGGAGCACCGCAACGGGAGGAGCGUGCGGUUUAAUUGGAUUCAACGCCGAAAAACUCACCAGCAGCGACUGUUACAUGAAAGUCAGGUUGAUGACCUUACUAGAUUUUCAGAGAGGUG
rnacentral:rRNA from 1 species